rnacentral:rRNA from 1 species
AUUGAACGCUGGCGGCAGGCUUAACACAUGCAAGUCGAGCGAGCGGCGGACGGGUGAGUAAUGUCUGGGAAACUGCCUGAUGGAGGGGGAUAACUACUGGAAACGGAAGCUAAUACCGCAUACCAUCAGAUGUGCCCAGAUGGGAUUAGCUAGUAGGUGGGGUAAUGGCUCACCUAGGCGACGAUCCCUAGCUGGUCUGAGAGGAUGACCAGCCAAACGGGAAGUGGGACACGGUCAGGACUCCUACGGGAGGCAGCAGUGGGGAAUAUCGCACAAUGGGCGCAAGCCGGAGGCAGCCAUGCCGCGGGUGUGAGGAGGGCCUUCGGGUUGUAAGGCACUUUCAGCGAGGAGGCGUUACUCGCAGAAGAAGCACCGGCUAACUCCGUGCCAGCAGCCGCGGUAAUUC